CAGUGUGAUUUAUUUCAGAUGUGCAGCGCUUUGUUUCUGUAAUCAGUCAAGGAUGGGAUGAAGGGUAAAAUAUUGGCCAGUGAACCCCAGGUGAGCCGUCUGUCCGUGACUCGGCGGGAACCUAUGAAUCAGAAGGCUGAGGGCACAAGUCCUGCACAGGACCCCCUCACCUGAGGCUGUGACGUGACGGAUCUGUCAGAUCCUUUAUGUAACGGCGAGACUGCAUAGGACAUUGGUCAGACAGCCCUUGGAGGACCCUGUGAGGCCAUUAUCUCGGAAAAGAUGCGCUGGUAUUGGAGUGGAUCGAGAGAAUGACCCCGGGGAUGAAAGGGUUAAAGUCUGUUAAAUCGUUCAGAGUGCGAGACAAAGAGAUGCACAGCGAGAUCCCAACUCCACCUGCUCGUACAAGGUCAUGGCGUUGUAGUUGUGUCCCUGGUGAACCAGUAGCUAGUGGCUCGAACUAUUGAAAUGGGGGUGAAAGUUGAAACCUCUC